AAGAGAAAGAGAAAACCAAUUCCAGAAACACUCAUGAAUUUAGAAAGCUCGUCUUUAAGAUGAUGUUUCCCUAGAACCACUCUCUGUACCAAAAUCUGUAGUUGUCAAAAUUUCCCAGAGAAACAAAUAGGAUAUGUGUAUAAAACACACAUGUAUCUAUAUAGGCAAUAGAUAACUAUACUAUGGAUACGUCCAGGCAUCUAUAUGUAUAUCUAUAUAUCUAUAUCAUCUAUAUCUAUAUCUAGUCUACAUUGAGAGAGAGAAAGAGACAGAGAAAUAUUUCUUGUAAGGAAUUGGCUCACAUGCUGUGGAGGUUGGCAAAUCUAAACCCCAUAGGGUAGACUGGCAAGGUAAAGAGCCAGAGAAAAGUAACAAUUUGAGUUCAAAAACGGUCUAUUGGCAGAAUUCCCUCUUCUUCAGAGGAGGCAAGACAUUUAUUUCCUUGGGAACUGUUACAGAUUUAUUCAUGCCUCCUCUGCAAGAAAACAACUGACACUACAAAAUUAAAAAGAGCUUGGAGGAGAAGUAAGAGACCUGGAAUGAGAGUACUUCAGAUACUGAAACAUGCUACACACUAUGGGAAAACAAUGGGCUUUGGAAACAGUUGCCCUAAAGAUGAAACCCCACAUCGCCACU